UACGUAGGGGGCAAGCGUUGUCCGGAGUUACUGGGCGUAAAGGGUGCGUAGGUGGCCAAUUCAGUCAAGUGUGAAAUUCCGCGGCUCAGCUGUGGGAGAGCGCUUGAAACUGGAUGGCUUGAGGUCAGGUCAGGAAGAUGGAAUUGUCAGUGUAGGGGUGAAAUCCGUAGAUAUUGGCAAGAACGCCAGUGGUGAAGACGGUCUUCUGGACUGAUACUGACACUGAGGCACGAAAGCCAGGGGAGCGAACGGG
rnacentral:rRNA from 1 species